UGAUUAAAAUUUCAUCCAUUUGUACUGUUAAAAACUAGUUGGUUUACGGGAUAAUUAAGCGGUGACACUUGUACCUUAUGCUGAAAUAUAAUGAUUAAUUUUUUACAUUAGAAAUUAAUGGAAUUUUUAACA
rnacentral:pre_miRNA from 1 species